rnacentral:rRNA from 1 species
GACGAACGCUGGCGGCGUGCCUAAUACAUGCAAGUAGAACGCUGAAGGAGGAGCUUGCUUCUCUGGAUGAGUUGCGAACGGGUGAGUAACGCGUAGGUAACCUGCCUGGUAGCGGGGGAUAACUAUUGGAAACGAUAGCUAAUACCGCAUAAUAGCAGUUGUUGCAUGACAACUGUUUGGAAGGUGCAAUUGCACCACUACCAGAUGGACCUGCGUUGUAUUAGCUAGUUGGUGGGGUAACGGCUCACCAAGGCGACGAUACAUAGCCGACCUGAGAGGGUGAUCGGCCACACUGGGACUGAGACACGGCCCAGACUCCUACGGGAGGCAGCAGUAGGGAAUCUUCGGCAAUGGACGGAAGUCUGACCGAGCAACGCCGCGUGAGUGAAGAAGGUUUUCGGAUCGUAAAGCUCUGUUGUAAGAGAAGAACGAGUGUGAGAGUGGAAAGUUCACACUGUGACGGUAUCUUACCAGAAAGGGACGGCUAACUACGUG